CAAACACCUUGUUAUUGAGUCACUCCCUGUGAAGUAAAGUAUAAAAGAUAGGACUCCUCAUUGACCAUCACACAAUCUACACUGAAGUUCUGAAAGCGAAGAUUUAACAAAAGAUUCAUCAUGGCAGUCAUGAGAGCUCUUGUGCUUCUUUUCUUGGUCUUUUCUGUUGAGAGUGCACCAGCUGAAGAAGACUGCCCAUAUGGAUGGACACCUUUUGGUGUGAAAUGCUACAAAUUCUUCUCUCAUCCAGUAAACUGGGCCACAGCUGAGAAAAACUGUCAAUCUAUUGAUGCAAAUCUUGCAUCUGUGCGCAGUAAAGUGGAAAACAACUUUCUCCUGAGUCUGCUUGCGUCUGCUGACACACGUGCUUGGAUUGGUGGCCAUGAUGGCGAAAUUG